UUUGGUGACAGGUUCCAUUGCUGGAUGCGGAGUCUUCCAGCUUAUUGUAAUUGUCUUUGCCCUCGUCAUCUUUUGUGAUGCACGACAGGCAUCAAAAGUUGAUCCCAAACAAUGAUCUUUUAACAAUUCUUCAGCGCCAACUCCAAGAUAAAAUUUUCGAAGGAAACGGGAGAUUACUCUUUGGAAAAUUCUGCAUCCGUCAAAAAUUAAAUAAAAUAACCUUGUAUAUUUUUUUAAGAAGUGGGAAAAUUAUAA